GUGACAAUAGGUUAACUGGUAAACCCUGGCACUUCCAAUGCUAUUAUGCGUGUUCGAUUCACGCUUGUCAUA
rfam:Clavispora lusitaniae ATCC 42720 scaffold_9 genomic scaffold, whole genome shotgun sequence.